AUGGAUAUGCGAAUUAAUAACUGCACAAUUAAUUCGCAAGGCAUGGAUCAGCUGAGAUAAUUGUACAGACGAGGCUUAAAUGUGAGCUGCUUUUCACUCAUUACUCACGCUGAACUCCGCCUGUCGAUUAAUCUCGGCAUCUGGUCUCCCACUCGCAAAACGGGGCGCAAGGGCACGAGCACUGUUAAAGGAGUGAGCGCACCUAUUGUGUUUAGCGAGGAGGGGUGUAAAGUUUGCUUGUUUAACUAAUUGCCCUGUGGGAAUUUGAAUGUGGUUUGUCCCUCCACUUUGGCGGGAGGCUGAAGAGUAUAAAAGCCAAUCUGUGCAGGACAGCGAGGGGGAUCGGUCUAUAUAACGGCGGUGAGUUACUGCUGUCAGCGAGUUACAUGGAAAUAGACUAAGUCCAGUCUGGACACUUUGUAAAUAUUUAUUAUUUUGUUUAGCCAAAGUCUUUAUUUCACUGUAAAUAUUGCAUCAUUAUAGCACCAGCGGCUGGAAGAAAAAAAAAUCUGUUCUACUGAAAUCCUGCCUCCUGGGCCUUCCUACCACCUACCUUGACUGUUUUGAUCUGUCCCGAAACCACUGCACUCCAAUAUCACUCUGGGGUCUUUUCCAGGACCUUUAAUUGUGGCCAGAAAUUUAAGAUUCUUCCACUGGGCACUAUUUUAGGGGCAACCUGAAGAUAAAGGCAGAAGGACAAAGACUAUGUGACCCCUUCAGUGGUGCUGUACAGCCUGUUCUCGCACUUGCUUAUUUGGAAGUAACCCUUAUGAACCACACCAUUUCCCUCUUGCAUAUACCUGCUGUGCAGAACAUAAAUACCUUGGCAGUGUCUUGUUCUAGAGCCAACACAGUUAGCAGAUGUCUGCUAAAAGAGUGAUGCAAGAUAUGCGGUCCCAAAUUGGACACAUGGGCAUGCUGGGAAAAAAAGGAUGCUUUAUGAAAGUGCAAAAUCUGUAAGUAUAUUGCCACUAUACUGUGCAGAGUGCCUACACUAAGAGAAUGAAUUAGGCUCUUUGAGGUUUGACUCAUAAGCAAUCUGCGCAAUGGUGAGUACUGGUUGUUUGAAGUCCAGCAGACACAUACAGGGCUGUAGCAGCUGUCAAAGCUCUGCUGAUACACUUUGAUGGAAAACAUCAAAAAUGCUAGCAUUACAGCUGAUCAAUAUAAUUUCCAGUCUUUCGAGGCGUUUAGCAAAUGCAAACAUCUCGCCUCAAACAUAGUUGUUUGUGAUUUGUAUACAUAAGUAAAAAUAAGAAAUAAGAGCUGGCCUUUCCACAAGGGUUUGGCAUAAAGUAGCAUUAGAAGACAGACUUCUGUUGUUUACUAUUCUAUCAGAGUGCAAUGCUGUGUGAUAAUGAAGCUCUGGGCCUGACCAAGAGUACUGUGACCUCACACCAGGCGCUACAGUAGAACACUUCCAAAUUCCUUUAUAAUGACCCUUUAUAAUCACCUUCAGUAAAACAAAUAAAAGGCGAGCAAGACCUUUUAUGGUCUAAAUGGGUGACACUAUUUGAUGUUAAGCCAAAAAAAAAAAAAACAAUGACACAGAAUCAAGUUAAAUUUAAACAAAAUUUUGUCUGUUUAAAUGUGUUGCCCCAAGUGAAGGCCAAUCUACCCUGCAAGACUUAAACAUCAAAGUAGCACUGAGACUGAAUUACUUGUUGACAGAGAUUUUGAGGCCUGCACAAUCCUGCAGUUGCUUUUUUUUUCCACACCGACAUAAAUCAUAUUAAAAAUAUCAAACACAGGAAAAACUGGAAGUUCCAGAUAAUACAAUUAAGCAUGACAAAGCAAGCUGGGAGAAAAGACAACCUCUUGAGAGGCAAACAUGUCCGCACCAAGAGCUUAAGAAAUAGGAAUGCAAGGACAGUUUCUGACUUGCUCUGACUCCAGAAAAAUACCAGCACUGGACAGUGCUUCUUAUCUGAUGAAAAACAGGUUUUCAACAUAUAAAAAUGUUGCAC